rnacentral:rRNA from 1 species
CCUACGGGCGGCAGCAGUGAGGAAUAUUGGUCAAUGGGCGGGAGCCUGAACCAGCCAAGUCGCGUGAGGGAAGAAGGCCCUGUGGAUCGUAAACCUCUUUUGCCGGGGAGCAAAAGACCCGACGCGUCCGGUCCUGAGAGUACCCGAAGAAAAAGCAUCGGCUAACUCCGUGCCAGCAGCCGCGGUAAUACGGAGGAUGCGAGCGUUAUCCGGAUUCAUUGGGUUUAAAGGGUGCGCAGGCGGGAAUUCAAGCCGGCGGUAAAAUGGAGGGGCUCAACCCCGUCGAGCCGGCGGAACUGGGUGCCUUGAGUGAGUCGGAGGUAUGCGGAAUGCGUGGUGUAGCGGUGAAAUGCAUAGAUAUCGCGCAGAACCCCGAUUGCGAAGGCAGCGUGCCGGGGCGCAACUGACGCUGAGGCACGAAAGUGCGGGUAUCGAACAGGAUUAGAUACCCCAGUAGUC